rnacentral:sRNA from 1 species
UGGGAGAUGUACGUAAUAACGUAGGAAUUAGGAUGGUAGUAUUUGAUAAGAUGCUGUCCUAAUUCAUUCCUCAUUUAGGAUCUGAGAUUUACCCAUUAUCUGGACUGUACACUAGAAUCUCAUUCUAACUAGGAUGCUAAAUAAGAAGUUUGAAGAACGACAUGAUCAAAAAUUUGGCUCAUCAUUUGUGUAACAAAAUGACAGAUACAUAUGCAAGUCCUCAUUGAACACAGCAGGACGGAGGGGGAUUCAAGUUAUGGAGCACUAGACAUCAAUCUACCAAGUCUUCCUUACUAAAUAAAAAUCUUGAAUGAAUCAGUAUCGUCUUGUCAGUUCAAUGCUGAUUCAGUAGAUCAUAUGGCUUAAUCCUCAGUCCUUUGACGCUUUGGGGCUUGAGAACUAUCUUCACUAGCAUGUUGCUUAGGAUUCUCAGAUGCUUUACAUUCAGCAGGAUCCUGCUUCUCAUCCACUUUCGAUGAGCUUUCCUCAACUUUGGUACUGCCAUUUGCUUGAUCAGGUCCUGACUCGCAAAGAUCCACUUUGACAGUUUCGGAAUCAGUUUUGGCUGUAGAAUCUUUCAUGACAUCAGAAGAAACUCCAGAUGGACUAUCACCGGCAGAUGAUGCCUUAAAUGUUUCAAUGCCAGAUUUGCACUGUUUCUCAAACAUCAUUUGAAGCUAGCUGAUGCUUGCCAACUGGGAAGUUCAGAAAUUACGGGAAGUCAGCCUGAUCAGCAGGUUAUGAAGGUUUUGGGAGUAGGAAAGUAUCCUCUUCUCAAAAGAACUAGAUUAUUCUGUUAAGAGUUUAAUUUCAUAAAUUUUAGAAAUAUUUAUCUUCCUCCACAACCUUUAUGGGAAACACUUUCCUAGCCUCUUGGCAGGUUUCCCUUAAGGUAUUUUUUAAGUGUGAUAGUAGAUAGUACUUGCAGAGGGGUAGGGUUGGUCUUUUGAACAGCUUCUGUCUGUUGUUGAUUGCUUAGUAGCUUUUGGAUGAUU